UACAGGGGGUGCAAACGUUGCUCGGAAUUAUUGGGCGUAAAGCGCGCGUAGGCGGCUACUUAUGUCGGAUGUGAAAGCCCUUGGCUCAACUGAGGAAGUGCACCCGAAACUGAGUAGCUGGAGUACGAAAGAGGGUCGCGGAAUUCCCGGUGUAGAGGUGAAAUUCGUAGAUAUUCGGAAGAACACCAGUGGGGAAGGCGACUCGCUGGACAAGUAUUGACGCUGAGGUGCGAAAGCGUGGGGAGCAAACAGG
rnacentral:rRNA from 1 species